CUCUAUCCCUCCUACGGGAGGCAGCAGUGGGGAAUAUUGCACAAUGGGGGAAACCCUGAUGCAGCCAUGCCGCGUGUGUGAAGAAGGCCUUCGGGUUGUAAAGCACUUUCAGUAGGGAGGAAGGUAGUGUAGUUAACACCUGCAUUAUUUGACGUUACCUACAGAAGAAGCACCGGCUAACUCCGUGCCAGCAGCCGCGGUAAUACGGAGGGUGCGAGCGUUAAUCGGAAUUACUGGGCGUAAAGCGCAUGCAGGCGGCCUGUUAAGUCAGAUGUGAAAGCCCGGGGCUUAACCUCGGAAUUGCAUUUGAAACUGGCAGGCUAGAGUCUUGUAGAGGGGGUAGAAUUUCAGGUGUAGCGGUGAAAUGCGUAGAGAUCUGAAGGAAUACCAGUGGCGAAGGCGGCCCCCUGGACAAAGACUGACGCUCAGAUGCGAAAGCGUGGGGAGCAAACAGGAUUAGAUACCCUGGUAG
rnacentral:rRNA from 1 species